UUAUCGGGCUGUCAACUGCAUUCGCCGAGUAUCGAAUUCAGCUCCGACUUGAUCUACUGCAAAGCUCAGCUCGAGCUCGGUUCCCUUUUGAAUAAAAACCGAAUCAAAUUGAUGGAACUUCUUGGUAUUCCACAGAAGUUGGGGGCCAAUGGUGCACUCUCUACAAUUUAGGAGACAGUGGGGCAAUUUUUCAGGAGAAAAUCCGGGUAAGGAAUCGGGCAGCUGACCCGACAUGUCUCAGCGGCCCGGGCCCGCCCAUACCUUUAACAAUUUGUUUACCGGCCGCCACCGCCGCGGACUUUUACUCCGGUCAUCAUUUCUUUGUACAGACAUGGAAAGUCCGCUGAAUCUACUCGAAAUCUCCUCUUCUCCGAUCCUACAGCUCCAUCCCCAACUCCUUCACCAUAGAAGCUCCUCUCUGCAUGCUCUUCACUUCACCAGGCGGAUUCUCGAUCCGGAAGGGUGCAGAUGGCGUUGCCGUUGAGGGCCGCCCUGUGGAUGGCAAAGAUGGUUUGGAUAGCACUCACCGGCUGGGUAUCUUCUUGCUUGACCGUCGCCGACGAGGUCGCCGGCUCUCUCAGAUCCGGCGAUAUCAGCCCUUUCCAUGUCGGAUAAUCGGAACUCGUGCGGGGAUUGAGUGGUCGCCUCCCCGUUCGUCUCCUUAGUGUUUGGUACAUAGCUGCUCCUCUUUGUGAAUGCUAUACCUUUUCAUCUCCUUGCCGAGCUCGAAUCAAUUGCUGCUGCUCUUUGUCAAGCUUGUCCAGUGGCUUCAAGUCAAUAAUGAUUGAUGGGAUGGAUUCCUUUGGCUGAGUUCAUGGUGUCAUGCUUGGGAUUGUGUUGAACUCCCUAUUUGAUGAUCAAUGAUAGAUUGCAUGGAACAGCAAAACAAUGUCGAUAUGAAGAAAAGUGACCGAAUUUGCCAAUAUGAAUCAUAUGCUGGAGUGAUCACAGGAAGGAUUAAUUCUAACGUUUCCAACAGACAGCAAGAUCGUAGUACUUGUCGUGCCUGCAGAAUUAGUAUCUGUUGACUCCUUUCGAUCGCUUCAUGUUCGAUUCUUUUAGACGAGCAGUCAUGUUAGAUUAGAUCAGGAUCGUAGCUGUAAAGGAUCGUGGCUGUAAAGAGGACGGUUGCUGCAAAGUAUUGAAGACUUGAGAAACGAAGAAGAGAGAAAGGAGUUUUUGUGUGAGAGUAUUCAACUCCCUGCCCUUGGUUUUAUUGUCAAAAUUUAUCGAGGAGUUACGUAAAAGAUGUAAUCUCGUCUGGGCAUCCAAAAAGCAGCUACAGAUCUAUGCUGACUGAAGAUCUCUCUGUUUCUGUUUACUUCUUGAGACGUUUUAUCCUGUGGAUAUGAUCUUUCGAGUGUUCGCUCUUUACCUCUGUAAAUGCUGUGUAGCAGUUUGUGACUUCGUGUUAUCUAUCAACUUAUGCAACGAAAAGCUCUGAUUCUGUCUCUUCAGGAGAUUA